rnacentral:piRNA from 1 species
UGCUGACGUAUCAUAGGUAAA